GAUGAACGCUGGCGGGGGGGAGAAUACAGGCAAGUCGAGCGAACAGACGAGGAGCUUGCUCCUCUGACGUUAGCGGCGGACGGGUGAGUAACACGUGGAUAACCUACCUAUAAGACUGGGAUAACUUCGGGAAACCGGAGCUAAUACCGGAUAAUAUAUUGAACCGCAUGGUUCAAUAGUGAAAGACGGUUUUGCUGUCACUUAUAGAUGGAUCCGCGCCGCAUUAGCUAGUUGGUAAGGUAACGGCUUACCAAGGCAACGAUGCGUAGCCGACCUGAGAGGGUGCUCGGCCACACUGGAACUGAGACCCGGUCCAGACUCCUACGGGAGGCAGCAGUAGGGAAUCUUCCGCAAUGGGCGAAAGCUUGACGGAGCAACGCCGCGUGAGUGAUGAAGGUCUUCGGAUCGUAAAACUCUGUUAUUAGGGAAGAACAAAUGUGUAAGUAACUAUGCACGUCUUGACGGUACCUAAUCAGAAAGCCACGGCUACCUACGUG
rnacentral:rRNA from 1 species